rnacentral:rRNA from 1 species
AGCCACUUGCAAUCAAUAAGUGGUACGUCCUGCCCAGUGAUCAUUAAACGGCCGCGGUAUCCUAACCGUGCAAAGGUAGCAUAAUCACUUGCCCAUUAAUUGUGGGCUAGAAUGAACGAAUACACGAGGGCAAAGCUAUCCCCCCUAAGAACCUAAAAUUUAAUCUUUGAGUGAAGAAGCUCAAAUUACUGCGCAGGACAAGAAGACCCUAUAGAGCUUUACCACUAUGCUGCUCACCCAAACAGUAAAAUGGUUCGGUUGGGGCGACCAGGGACCAGUAAAUCAUCCCUACUUCAUAAGACCUACAAGUCACCAAAUAGAUCCUAUUUAUAGAUCAAAGGAUCUAGCUACCUUAGGGAUAACAGGCUAAUUCUCCUUGAGAGCCCAUAUCGACAGGAGAGAUUGGCACCUCGAUGUUGGCUUAGGACCUCUUUAUGAGGCAGCACUCAUAAAUAGAUGGUUUGUUCAACCAUUAAUUUCCU